rnacentral:siRNA from 1 species
UGAACUGGACCUCCUAAUUUCA